rnacentral:rRNA from 2 species
GGACUACUGGGGUUUCUAAUCCUGUUUGAUCCCCACGCUUUCGUGCCUCAGUGUCAAUAUUCGGGUAGUAAGCUGCCUUCGCAAUUGGUGUUCUAUGUCAUAUCUAAGCAUUUCACCGCUACAUGACAUAUUCCGCUUACCUCCACGAUAUUCAAGACAGAUAGUAUCAAUGGCAGUUUCCGGGUUGAGCCCGGAGAUUUCACCACUGACUUAACUGCCCACCUACGCACCCUUUAAACCCAGUGAAUCCGGAUAACGCUUGCACCCUCCGUAUUACCGCGGCUGCUGGCAC